UCAGGACGAACGCUGGCGGCGUGCUUAACACAUGCAAGUCGAACGGAAAGGCCCAGCUUGCUGGGUACUCGAGUGGCGAACGGGUGAGUAACACGUGGGUGAUCUGCCCUGCACUCUGGGAUAAGCCUGGGAAACUGGGUCUAAUACCGGAUAUGACCAACUGUCGCAUGGUGGUUGGUGGAAAGCUUUUGCGGUGUGGGAUGGGCCCGCGGCCUAUCAGCUUGUUGGUGGGGUAAUGGCCUACCAAGGCGACGACGGGUAGCCGACCUGAGAGGGUGAUCGGCCACACUGGGACUGAGACACGGCCCAGACUCCUACGGGAGGCAGCAGUGGGGAAUAUUGCACAAUGGGCGCAAGCCUGAUGCAGCGACGCCGCGUGAGGGAUGACGGCCUUCGGGUUGUAAACCUCUUUCACCAGGGACGAAGCGUGAGUGACGGUACCUGGAGAAGAAGCACCGGCCAACUACGUGCCAGCAGCCGCGGUAAUACGUAGGGUGCGAGCGUUGUCCGGAAUUACUGGGCGUAAAGAGCUCGUAGGCGGUUUGUCGCGUCGUCUGUGAAAUUCUGCAACUCAAUUGCAGGCGUGCAGGCGAUACGGGCAGACUUGAGUACUACAGGGGAGACUGGAAUUCCUGGUGUAGCGGUGAAAUGCGCAGAUAUCAGGAGGAACACCGGUGGCGAAGGCGGGUCUCUGGGUAGUAACUGACGCUGAGGAGCGAAAGCGUGGGUAGCGAACAGGAUUAGAUACCCUGGUAGUCCACGCCGUAAACGGUGGGUACUAGGUGUGGGUUCCUUUUCACGGGAUCCGUGCCGUAGCUAACGCAUUAA
rnacentral:rRNA from 1 species